UACGUAGGGGGCAAGCGUUGUCCGGAAUUAUUGGGCGUAAAGAGCGUGUAGGCGGUUUGGUAAGUCCGCUCUGAAAGUCCGGGGCUCAACCCCGGAAGGCGGGUGGGAUACUGUCAGACUAGAGUGCGGAAGAGGCGAGUGGAAUUCCCGGUGUAGCGGUGAAAUGCGCAGAUAUCGGGAGGAACACCAAUUGCGAAGGCAGCUCGGCUGGGACGUAACUGACGCUGAGACGCGAAAGCGUGGGGAGCAAACAGGG
rnacentral:rRNA from 1 species